rnacentral:lncRNA from 1 species
CGGGGAUCCAUCAUGGCGGUGAAUUUAGAGCUCCGCGGAGGGAACCUCUUCACCCAGUCGAGGAGCCGCUGCUCCGGCUUGGGGCGGUUCUUGUCCAGCGCCCGCCGGCCGGUGAGGAUCUCGAAGAGGACGACGCCGAAGGCCCAGAGGUCGCUCUUCGUCGUCAGGUGCCCCGUCUCGAUGUACUCCGGGGCUGCGUACCCGUGGGUCCCCAUCACCUGCAGAAUUAGGGUUUCACUAAUGCCGCGUUCCACUGUUCAGGAAGAGGAAGGACCAGAUCUGAUGAUGCAGCAGCCACGAUGUCAUCUACUUCCUCGAGAGGGUCUGGAAACCAGCCGCAGCCUGGCCACCAGAGAUCGCUUAUGCUUCUAUUCCGGAACCAGAGGAGGAGAAGCCAAAGAGGGCAGGCAGGGAAGGUCCUCUCCCCUUCCAUUUCAAGCAAAGAAAAAAACCCUAAUCAGGGAAAUCGACAGCUCUGCCCCAAGCUCCAACGCCUCCAUCCCCUGAAAGGAAAAAAACCUCCCUUCCCCUCACUUCUCUUCCACAUUUUGAAUGGCAACUUCUCUCUGUUCCAGGCUAGGCAGCCCUUUUUUCUAGGGUUCUUCCUAUUUCUAGGGUUUCCAUCCCUCUGAAAAACAAAAAAGCCCUUCCCCUCAAUUCUAUUCCUCAUUAUGCUUGACAACUUCUUUUUGUUUUAGACAAGACGGCCAUCCCUAGGGUUCUCCCUAGUUCUAGGGUUUUCACUCUGAAUAAAGAAAAAAAAAACCCUUCCCUCAAUCCUCUUCCUCGUCAUACCAGAGAAUUCCUUUCUGUUCCAAGCUAGGCUGCCCUCUCCAGGGUUCUUCCUGGUUCUAGGGAGCUCAUCCCACUGAAAAGACAGCCCUUCCCCUCAAUUAUCUUCCUCAUUAUGCUUGAGAGGUUCUUUCUGGNNNNN